rnacentral:rRNA from 1 species
AGUGAACGCUGGCGGUAGGCCUAACACAUGCAAGUCGAACGGCAGCACAGUAAGAGCUUGCUCUUACGGGUGGCGAGUGGCGGACGGGUGAGGAAUACAUCGGAAUCUACUUUUUCGUGGGGGAUAACGUAGGGAAACUUACGCUAAUACCGCAUACGACCUACGGGUGAAAGCAGGGGAUCUUCGGACCUUGCGCGAUUGAAUGAGCCGAUGUCGGAUUAGCUAGUUGGCGGGGUAAAGGCCCACCAAGGCGACGAUCCGUAGCUGGUCUGUGAGGAUGAUCAGCCACACUGGAACUGAGACACGGUCCAGACUCCUACGGGAGGCAGCAGUGGGGAAUAUUGGACAAUGGGCGCAAGCCUGAUCCAGCCAUGCCGCGUGGGUGAAGAAGGCCUUCGGGUUGUAAAGCCCUUUUGUUGGGAAAGAAAAGCAGCAGGUUAAUACCCCGCUGUUCUGACGGUACCCAAAGAAUAAGCACCGGCUAACUUCGUG